AAGGCGUAACCGAAAAGCCUAAGAGUAGGAA
rfam:Flavobacterium sp. ov086 genome assembly, contig: Ga0070134_123